rnacentral:lncRNA from 1 species
ACUCUAAUUGCUGAUGAAUGUGCAAAACUGGGGUCAUGAUUCCUUUCUAUUGUUGUUUCUUUUCUUUCUUUCUUUCUUUUUUUUUUUUUUUUGCUCCUUUUCUGGAGUCUCACAUAACCCAGGCUGGUCUCCGUGUAACUCCUAAUCCUCCUGCCUCCACUUCCCAGGUGCCAGGAUUACAGGCAUGCACCACUACCCCUGGCCAACGUUUCAUUUUAGCUGCAAAUCGCCAGAUUAACGGGAGGAUGAACGAUAUGAAGAAAGAUUUUGGUGAAAGGGAACAUACUAUGGAAAGUGAGACAGUGUUCAUUGAACUGAUCUAUAUGCUGUAUUCCCUUGGACACUCCAGUUUGGCGGAGGCAGAUCUGAGAGUUGCAAGCUUGAACCCCUCCCUGGCAACCAGGAUGACAACAGUGCCCUCACUAAGUACUGCCUUGCACGACUUAACCUGCUUCCUAGCCAAGGCUCUCUCUUCUGCAUGAACAGUCUUGCUGGGCCUGGAAGCCUCUUGGGUGUUUUUCCCCACAAGUGUGACACGGGAAAUUCAGAUCUGUAAACACUGGGAUCAUUUUAAAACUUCCAAGGGCAGAUGGUGUGAUUCCAACCCAGACUGUAUCAUUCCAGCAUCUUCGGCAGACAAUAAGAGUGACUUCCUCUAAUGUGCUCAAGAGAUACCCAGGGCUCAGAGCUCUACAGCUGCAAACGGUACAGGAAAGCAGGCUUGGCCCUCUGCCCCUCACUUCCCUUUCCUCUUCCUAAUUCUGACCAGCAAUAGCUGAGGCCUUGGAAUUCCAGCC